rnacentral:rRNA from 1 species
GAGUUUGAUCGUGGCUCAGAUUGAACGCUGGCGGCAUGCCUUACACAUGCAAGUCGAACGGCAGCACGGGAGCUUGCUCCUGGUGGCGAGUGGCGAACGGGUGAGUAAUGCAUCGGAACGUAUCCUGGAGUGGGGGGAUAACGUAGCGAAAGUUACGCUAAUACCGCAUAUUCUGUGAGCAGGAAAGCGGGGGACCUUCGGGGCCUCGCGCUCUUGGAGCGGCCGAUGUCGGAUUAGCUAGUUGGUGAGGUAAAGGCUCACCAAGGCGACGAUCCGUAGCAGGUCUGAGAGGAUGAUCUGCCACACUGGAACUGAGACACGGUCCAGACUCCUACGGGAGGCAGCAGUGGGAAUUUGGACAAUGGGGCAACCUGAUCCAGCCAUGCCGCGUGAGUGAAG